UACGUAGGGGGCUAGCGUUGUCCGGAAUCAUUGGGCGUAAAGAGCGUGUAGGCGGUCCGGUAAGUCCGCUGUGAAAGUCGGGGGCUCAACCCUCGAAUGCCGGUGGAUACUGUCGGGCUAGAGUGCGGAAGAGGCGAGUGGAAUUCCUGGUGUAGCGGUGAAAUGCGCAGAUAUCAGGAGGAACACCUAUUGCGAAGGCAGCUCGCUGGGACGUAACUGACGCUGAGACGCGAAAGCGUGGGGAGCAAACGGG
rnacentral:rRNA from 1 species